CCUACGGGAGGCAGCAGUAGGGAAUAUUGCUCAAUGGGGGAAACCCUGAAGCAGCAACGCCGCGUGGAGGAUGAAGGUUUUCGGGUUGUAAACUUCUUUUGACAGGGAAGAGCAGAAGACGGUACCUGUCGAAUAAGCCACGGCUAACUACGUGCCAGCAGCCGCGGUAAUACGUAGGGGGCAAGCGUUAUCCGGAUUUACUGGGUGUAAAGGGAGCGUAGACGGCAUGGCAAGUCAGAUGUGAAAGCCCGGGGCUCAACCCCGGGACUGCAUUUGAAACUGUCAGGCUGGAGUGCAGGAGAGGG
rnacentral:rRNA from 1 species